rnacentral:misc_RNA from 1 species
GAUGAAGAACGUAGCGAAAUGCGAUACGUAAUGUGAAUUGCAAAUUCAGUGAAUCAUCGAGUCUUUGAACGCACAUUGCGCCCCCUGGUAUUCCGGGGGGCAUGCCUGUCCGAGCGUCAUUGCUGCCCUCAAGCACGGCUUGUGUGUUGGGCCCCGUCCUCCGAUUCCGGGGGACGGGCCCGAAAGGCAGCGGCGGCACCGCGUCCGGUCCUCGAGCGUAUGGGGCUUUGUCACCCGCUCUGUAGGCCCGGCCGGCGCUUGCCGAUCAACCCUAAUUUUUAUCCAGGUUGACCUCGGAUCAGGUAGGGAUACCCGCUGAACUUAAGCAUAUCAAUAAGCGGAGGA